CUUUUUUUUUCUUUCUUUCUUUCUUUUUUUUCUUUCUUUUUUUUCUUCACCUGCUGCUUUAUCAGCCUUAAGGGUGUGCAGCUUAAAGUGACAGAAUAAUGUUUUAACUGGAAAUGGGGAGUGAGUGAAGUAACCCUACAGAUUUUGCCCCUCUCGUACUCACUCCCACAGGGAACUCUUGAAGUGACACGCAAAUGGGCAAGCUGGGAGACUGUGGUAGAAGAGCUUGCAGCCUAUGAUCAGUCAACCACUUCCUAGGAACAAGAGCCCUUAGGGGACAGUCUUGCUGAUCCCAAAGCUGAAAGACAUGGUGCCUGUACAGGACCCCUCUGAGCUGACAGUGGGAUAAACAGAGACACUCUUGCUGCUGCUGGCUCAGACAAAUGCUGAUCUUUGCUCUGCUGAGGAAAUCACAUUACUGUAAAAACAGAAGAAAGGAUUGCCUCUGUGGCUCUCCUAAGUGAUGGGAGUAUGGUGUAAUAGAAUCUGAGACCAUCUACAAACUAAAGCCACCUGUUUUACUUCUGGACUUGUGGUGUCAGACCAUAAGAUGAAGUUUCCUUUGAGUUUUGUUUGCAGCUUAACCUCCCUAGUGAUUUUCAGGUAUGAAUGAUCAAUAUGCAGUUCAUCCUCAUGCAGUUCAGUUAGCAGUUCAUUCAAUCUGUAAGAUGGCUUUA
rnacentral:lncRNA from 1 species